rnacentral:rRNA from 1 species
CAGCCGCCGCGGUAAUACGUAGGGUGCAAGCGUUAAUCGGAAUUACUGGGCGUAAAGCGUGCGCAGGCGGUUCGGAAAGAAAGAUGUGAAAUCCCAGAGCUUAACUUUGGAACUGCAUUUUUAACUACCGGGCUAGAGUGGGUCAGAGGGAGGUGGAAUUCCGCGUGUAGCAGUGAAAUGCGUAGAUAUGCGGAGGAACACCGAUGGCGAAGGCAGCCUCCUGGGAUAACACUGACGCUCAUGCACGAAAGCGUGGGGAGCAAACAGGAUUAGAUACCCUGGUAGUCCACGCCCUAAACGAUGUCAACUAGCUGUUGGGGCCUUCGGGCCUUGGUAGCGCAGCUAACGCGUGAAGUUGACCGCCUGGGGAGUACGGUCGCAAGAUUAAAACUUAAAGGAAUUGGCGGG